AAGAUAAUAAUAAGGGCCUUAAGUAAAGUUUUUGUUUUUUCUUAAUAGUCUUUUACUUUAAAAUUAGUUUAUCUAAAGAUAGAGUUUAAUAGCUAGAAAAGCCUAGUACCUUUACUAGGUUUAGUGUGCUUCUAAUAUUCCUUAAAAAUCUAUAGGAAGGAAUAAUUCUUAUACUAGGUUAUACUUAUAACUAUAGUAAGUCUUUAAGGUAAAUAGCCUUUAGUUAAUAAAAUAAUAUAGAUAAGGGAAGUUAGUAAAAUAAAUUUAUAACUUUAGGAAAAGGAUUAGCUUUAAGGGUUAGGUAUAUUAGGCCUUAGGAGAAUACCCUAGGAGUAGGUAGCUACUAGCUAGGUAACUAGCUAGUAGUAGCUAGUAUCUAGGUGCUAAUGCCCUUAGUAAGCCUUAGCUAUCUAGCGUAUAAUUAAUAACUAACUUAAAACUAGUAUAGAUAAGGGGAAUCUAACUAUUUAAUUAAAAUAUAGUAUUAUAAUAGCUAGAAAGUAGUGUUAAUAUAAUAUAAUUUCUACCUAGUACUUUAAAUAUUAAAGUAAAGUAAUUUAACUAAGCAUAGGUAAAUAGUAGGAGUAACUAUAACUCUCUUAAGGUAGCUAAAUGCCUUAUUAUCUAAUUAGUAAUGCGUAUAAAUAGAUUAAUAAGAUUCUUACUAUCCCUAUUUACUAUCUAGUAAAACUAUAGCUAAGGGAAUAGGCUUAGUAAAAUUAGUAAGGAAAGAAGACCUUAUUAAGCUUAACUUUAGUUUAAUAUUAUAAAAAGAUAUAGGAGGUGUAAAAUAAGUAAGAGCUUUAGCACUAGUAAAAUACUAUUACUUCUAUUAUUUUUUUACUUAUUUAAUAAAGUAAGGCUAGAUUUUUAUUUAACUUCUAGUUUUAAAGUCCUUUAUAAGCUAACCUAGGUUAAAGAUAUUAUUAAGUAAGGAGUUUAGCUAGGGUAGUAUAUUUAUUAAACUAUAAUACAAGUGUCCUAAGAGGGGCUUAUAGAGAAUAGAAAUUUCUAGUAAAAUAAAAGGGUAAAAGUCCCCUUAAUUUUGAUUUUUAGUGUAAAUAUAAACUAUAAAAGUAUAGCUUAUUAAUUCUUUAGUCCCUUAAUAUUUAAGGCUAGGGGUGCUAGAAAAGUUACUAUAGGAAUAACUAGCUUAUAGUAGCUAAGCGUUUAUAGUAAUAUUACUUUUUAAUUCUUUAAUAUUAGCUCUUUUUAUUAUACUAAAGUAAAAUUUAGUAAGUAUUAGAUUAUUUACCUACUAGAGUUUAGUUAGUAAGGAUAGUUAGGUCUUAGAUUAGUUUUAAGAUUAUACUAGCUAGUUAAUAUAGUAUAAAACUACAAGGGCUAUAUAGUAAUAUAACCUAGAUUAAGGGAGGCUAAGGCCUAGUAGCUAUACUAAUCCUAAGAGAAGUCUUACUUAAGUAAUCUUUUAGGACCUUUAUAAAGUAUAGUAAGGUAUAAGUAAUCUCCUUAGAAAACUACUUAAGGGAUAUACUAAACCUAUAGAAAACUAUACUAAAUAUAAAGAACUUAUAGUCUAGAUUAUUUAGAGAGUAAUUAAGUAUAGGAGGAAAUGCUUACUAUAAGCCUAGUAAAAUUAUAUAGUUAGGGAAUAAGUUAUUUUAUAUAGUUAUUUAAAUAAGGAAUAUAAGCUAGGUUUAGACUAUUAUAAGAUAAAUUAGUCUUACCUUACUAAUAACCUUACUAUAAUAGUAAUUUAGCUUAGUAUAAGAGAAACU
rnacentral:rRNA from 1 species